rnacentral:snRNA from 11 species
AUACUUGGCUGGACGCGGCAAUGGGUGAUAAAAAUGCCUAGGACUAGAUCAAUGACUUCCAUUGCACUUAGGAGAGGUGCUGGUCUAAGGUCUCCUCAAACAGAGACUACCUUGUACUUUAUGGCAGUCAGGAAGGUUUCUUCUGU